UACAGAGGUCCCGAGCGUUUGUUCGGAUUCACUGGGCGUAAAGGGUGCGUAGAUGGCUGGGAAAGUUUGAUGUGAAAGCUCAGGGCUUAACCCUGAAAUGGCAUUGAAUACUGCCUGGCUGGAGGUUUGGAGGGGGGACUGGAAUUCUUGGUGUAGCAGUGAAAUGCGUAGAUAUCAAGAGGAACACCAGUGGCGAAGGCGAGUCCCUGGACAACACCUGACACUGAGGCACGAAAGCCGGGGGAGCAAACAGG
rnacentral:rRNA from 1 species